GCCCUUUAGGGGAGAGAAGAGUGUGGAGGGAGGAAUCGGGGAAGCCCAGUGCCGUACUGAUGCUCUGGACUUUGUUUUUGGAGGUAGCCUGUGAUGCAGGGCAGAAAAGAGCUGAUGCCUUGGAGAGAGACUGGGAGAGGCUGGAGUUAAUAGAGGUGCCCACGCACCCAAAGGGCCAGCUCCUGCAUUUUUUCACUUCACCGAUGCCAAAGCCACUUUGCCCACCUUUGCAGCAGACGCAGGGAAUUAACUAUCUCAAGAAGUGGCCCUUAGUUAUUAACUGAUGGCAGCUGGUCCCAGGGUAUCCAAGAAGCUGUCAUCCAGGUCUUCUCCAAUGAAGCUACAACAACCCACAGAGCCAGCAGGGGAACCUACACCUUCGAUGUCAUAUAUGAGCAAACAGUCAUUAGAUGGGCGUCCUUCAUCUUCAUCUGCAUGGAGUGAAUAUGAUGAUUCUGUGAAGGUUUAUUGCAACAUGACUUUUUCAGCACAGCAACAGGAAAAUUUGACUCUGGGUCUGUUCUACAAAAUUAAAGGUGAUCAAAGACACUUUUAAAAAAUAUAAUCUCUCUAAAUUCAAAGUAAAAG
rnacentral:lncRNA from 10 species